rnacentral:lncRNA from 1 species
CGAAGCACGCCUCCACAAGAUGCUAUAUGCCUGAUUGUUGCACCACAACACCAUCAUAGUUUAGUUAACUUGUAGUGGUCCAGGGGGUGGUGGACUCCUAGAUGACAUGACUAGUAUGCAUAUGAAGUUGAAAAAUAAUCUUCACCUGCAAAUAAGUUCUCUUGAUGUUAGCACAAACCUCAUACGCGCACAAUAAAACAACCUAUCUAGUCCAGUCCAUCCAUCUAUUAUUAUCAAAAUCCAUCCAAUUCAUUCAUUCAUUUUGUCAUCACUAAUCCUCCUACCCAUUAUAUGUGGCAUCAAAAUUUAACAAUUUAUUAGGUCUUUAAUAUCCUCGAUUAAGGUGUUCUCAUUUAUCAUAUACUUUAUGCCAUUUCGCACUACU